AACUCGACUGCAUGAAGCCGGAAUCGCUAGUAAUCGCGGAUCAGAAUGCCGCGGUGAAUACGUUCCCGGGUCUUGUACACACCGCCCGUCACACCAUGGGAGUCGGAAAUGCCCGAAGCCGGUGGCCUAACCGAUAAGGGAGGAGCCGUCGAAGGCAGGUCUGAUGACUGGGGUGAAGUCGUAACAAGGUAUC
rnacentral:rRNA from 1 species